GUUAGUUUUCAGAUCUGAAAAUUAUAAUUGUUGCAUAUGGUGAUGAUCAUAGGAUUCAAACCCUUUUGGUAUCAAAUGUAAUGACCUGCGAUGUGAUCUGCGAUGUCAUGUAAUUUUUUAGAUGCUUGCAUGCAUCUUAUUUGAUGUUUUGAGAGGCCUGCGUGCCUCCUAAAAGGAGAUGUAAUUUAUUUUUAUUUUUAUUUUUCAUCUGGUUGUAUUUCUGUGAUGUGAUGUACAUCAACGAUCAAGUCGAAGACGAUGCAUGAGAUGAACAGGGGUCUAAGCGGUUGAUGGCGAUUGGAUCAAGAGUUGGUCAAGGAUCGAAUCAAGGAGGCUUGGAACCAAUUCAAGAGUUGAAGACCAGUUGAUCGAUUGACGUGCAUGUGCUUGUAAUACGACCUAACUAGAAUCCAUGAUCAUCACCUAUUUAAAGUUUAGCUUUAAUUUGAUGCUGCGAUUAUAACUGCCCGUGAUGUGCCGUUUGCAUGUGAUGUGAAUGCGAGUCGGGUAGAUAGGUUUACAUGUGAUGUAGCAAAUCCAAUUGAGACCUAAAUCAAAACCUCCUCAAUCAAGUCGAGAGUGAACCGACAUGAGCAAGUCAUAUUAGAUUAAUUGAUCUAAUUGGUGUCUAGGAAAGCAUGAAAGGUGGUUACU
rnacentral:lncRNA from 1 species